rnacentral:lncRNA from 1 species
AAGUCCAGGGUUCGAUCCGUAAAGGAGGCGGUUUAUCCGCCUUCUGGUGGUUCAAGCAUCGAGAGUCGUCCUUGUGGACCUCCGCGUGGAAUGAUUCUGCGGACCAUCCCGAAAGAAAAUGGAAAAAGAGAGGGGAAGUUGUAGCAAAAAGGGGUUGAGAAGGGGUACGUGUUCAGUAAGAAGUGAGGUUGUUUGGGUCUUGGAUUGCGAUGCCUUAGUUGAAAAUGGUUGGAGCAUCAAAUAGGCGGGGGGUUGAAGAAAAUUGUAUACAAGAGCCCUACCGGGUAUUAAAUAUGUACAUUUUUUGCAUUCUUGUUCAGUUUAUGUGUUGUUUGUUUUCGUGGUUUGGGGUUUUUUGAUUGAGCUUGCAAGCAAAGAGCAUAUGACGUGGCAUGACCGCGGAUUUCUGCUUGCCGCGUUGUCGGCGAUUGGAUUUUUCGACAAGUUGCACUUGUAAGACGAGGUAAACAGUUUUUUAUGUUUGCAAAUGUCGGUAAAUUGGGUAAACGAUACUUAUGCAAGGUUCACGACGGUUGCUGCUUAGUUGGAAGGCAGUUGCGGAACGGUUUAGAGUCCUUUCUGCUGGAAGGCCAUUGAAGCUGACUCCUCUCUAGUUUAAUACCUCGAGAGCUCCUCUUCCUGGUUUUGCUAUGUCAGGGUGCUCGCGAUACAGCACGAAUACCUGACGUUAUGGAAUGGUCAAAGCACAUGCCAGAAGGCGCCUGCGAGACUGGCUGAAGG